rnacentral:rRNA from 1 species
AUUGAACGCUGGCGGCAUGCCUUACACAUGCAAGUCGAACGGUAACAGGUCUUCGGAUGCUGACGAGUGGCGAACGGGUGAGUAAUACAUCGGAACGUGCCUAGUAGUGGGGGAUAACUACUCGAAAGAGUGGCUAAUACCGCAUGAGAUCUACGGAUGAAAGCAGGGGAUCGCAAGACCUUGUGCUACUAGAGCGGCCGAUGGCAGAUUAGGUAGUUGGUGGGAUAAAAGCUUACCAAGCCGACGAUCUGUAGCUGGUCUGAGAGGACGAUCAGCCACACUGGGACUUAGAAACGGCCCAGACUCCUACGGGAGGCAGCAGUGGGGAAUUUUGGACAAUGGGCGCAAGCCUGAUCCAGCAACGCCGCGUGCAGGAUGAAGGCCUUCGGGUUGUAAACUGCUUUUGUACGGAACGAAAAGCCCCGGGUUAAUACCCUGGGGUCAUGACGGUACCGUAAGAAUAAGCACCGGCUAACUACGUGCCAGCCGCCGCGGUAA